CUACAUUGAAUACGGGCUUUGGUAAUAAAUCAUCGUAUUUAUGUUUUUGAUUAAUAAAGCAAGAAUAGAUUAAUGGAAGUAGUGGCUAAUGAUGUUAGGAGGAAAGAGCGAAGUUAGGAGGAAAUGAUGAGUGUUGUACAGACAGACGUACAAGUGAAGUGGCCAGUUCAUGUCUGAGCAGUGAUCUGGUGUGAUCUACUCUCAGCCGUUUUCCACGAACAUUCUCUCUUUCUCUCCCACGUGACGUUUGUAUGAUUCUUCUCUCCGUACAUAUCAAUACAGUUACAAAUUGACGCUAUUGGCUACUUUGUAAUACUAGAUUUUCUUAUAAAUAUGAAUAUAUGAUAUUGUGA
rnacentral:sRNA from 1 species